rnacentral:rRNA from 1 species
GUAGGUGGCAAGCGUUGUCCGGAAUUAUUGGGCGUAAAGCGCGCGCAGGCGGUUCUUUAAGUCUGAUGUGAAAGCCCACGGCUCAACCGUGGAGGGUCAUUGGAAACUGGAGAACUUGAGUACAGAAGAGGAAAGCGGAAUUCCACGUGUAGCGGUGAAAUGCGUAGAGAUGUGGAGGAACACCAGUGGCGAAGGCGGCUUUCUGGUCUGUAACUGACGCUGAGGCGCGAAAGCGUGGGGAGCAAACAGGGAUUAGAUACCCUGGUAGUCCACGCCGUAAACGAUGAGUGCUAAGUGUUAGGGGGUUUCCGCCCCCUUAGUGCUGCAGCUAACGCAUUAAGCACUCCGCCUGGGGAUACGGCCGCAAGGUUG